rnacentral:lncRNA from 1 species
AAUCUCAAAGAACCACACCAAAUGGAACCUAAUAAGCCCUUCCAAUCUCCCUCAGGUGCUCUCUUUCCCCAUAUAUCUACCACAAAAAGAAAAAUACAAGAAUAACAAACAAAAAAAAUAAAAUAAAUGCCUUACCUCCUAAUACUCCACUGUAGAUGAUCGAAGAUGGAGAGCCGAUUGUCCGCACGCAUGAGAGGGAGAGGGAGAGGCUACCCGCACGUACGAGAGGGAGAGGGGGAGAGAGAGAUAGAGAGGGAAAGUUGUUGCUCAUUUGCACACACUAGAGGGAGAGAGAAAGCUGACUUGCUCGGCUUCAUGCACGAGAGGGAGAGGGACAGGGAGAGAGGGAGAGAAAGAGGGAAAGCUGGUCGCCCACAAGGGAUGCACGAGAG